UUAAUUUUUAACAAGCAGAAACGUCUGCGAACGAUGCUAUUAAGCUUAGAAUAAAUUUAAAAGUGGAAUCCAGAGGCCGUGACACAUCGUAACUGGUGAAUUUCCAAUAUGACUUGGAACUCCGGUAGCCGUUUAAGAAGUGUAACACUCUUACGGUAUAUGUCGCUAAGGGUCCCCUUGACCUAUAAUAUGGUGGAAAGAUUUGCUGGCUGGGGAUGAGGUCUUGGUGGCUCAGAUGGCAGAGCGCUGGAGUAUCUAUCCAGAGGCCGUGAGUUCAAGUCUCACCCAAGACAGUAAUUUU